CUUGGUCAUUUAGAGGAAGUAAAAGUCGUAACAAGGUCUCCGUUGGUGAACCAGCGGAGGGAUCAUUACCGAGUUUACAACUCCCAAACCCCUGUGAACAUACCUUUAUGUUGCCUCGGCGGAUCAGCCCGCGCCCCGUAAAACGGGACGGCCCGCCGCAGGAACCACAAAACUCUGAUUUUAGUGUAACUUCUGAGUCUAAAAAACAAAUAAAUCAAAACUUUCAACAACGGAUCUCUUGGUUCUGGCAUCGAUGAAGAACGCAGCAAAAUGCGAUAAGUAAUGUGAAUUGCAGAAUUCAGUGAAUCAUCGAAUCUUUGAACGCACAUUGCGCCCGCCAGUAUUCUGGCGGGCAUGCCUGUUCGAGCGUCAUUUCAACCCUCAAGCCCCCGGGUUUGGUGUUGGGGAUCGGGCUGUGCUCCAGCCCGGCCCCGAAAUCUAGUGGCGGUCUCGCUGCAGCCUCCAUUGCGUAGUAGCUAACACCUCGCAACUGGAACGCGGCGCGGCCAAGCCGUUAAACCCCCAACUUCUGAAUGUUGACCUCGGAUCAGGUAGGAAUACCCGCUGAACUUAAGCAUAUCAAUAAGCGGAGGA
rnacentral:misc_RNA from 1 species